UGGGAAGCAGCCUCCCUUGUGAAAGCACGCUUGUAAGUAGGCGGUGCAUAACUCACAGGCCAUGCAAAAAGCCUGGCUGAAUUCGAUUGCUUUUGAGACAGCUGGUUCUGUGGCCAUCGCUGGGCUGACUCUGUUUCUCCAUUGGAGGUCCAGUCAUCUUGGUGGCAGGUGGUUUUCUGAGAUCCACCUGCUGGGCCAUUUCAGGCCACUGAAACUCCCUUGCUGGGAUUAACUCCGCUUAAAGCUUACACUAUGUUGUUUUCGCAAAAUCCUCUUGGUUUAGGAGAGACUGAGAAGAUUCUUGGUGAAAGUUGGACAAACAGCUGAGUUAUUUGUGUCCAAAGGUAAAUCGUGCCCAGGGGCAGGCAGCCAGGGGAGAGGAGCAGAUGGCACACUGAUGACGCAGCCGCCACCAGGAGCUGGUCCAUGGAGGGGAUACAGCAACACCCGACGCUUUCACCCGGUUGAUCUGAUGAACACAGCCGAAGACUUCCGGCAGCACAGGCCUGGGUUCUCAUUUAUUACUGUCUUGGGACUUGGUGUGCUGAUUUUUGCCCAGCAAACGGUGUCAUGGUUGUGAGUGAGGUGACAGGUAAGGCUGUGGGGUCAUCGCUCGCCUCCCCAUCGCUCCCCAUCGCUCCCCAUCGCUCCCCCAUCGCUCGCCUGCACCUGGACCUCCUGGAGCCUCAGUCAGUGCAGCCAGGGCAGGUAGGACAUGGUUACCCUCCUCUGCUAGUUUCGAG
rnacentral:lncRNA from 1 species